rnacentral:piRNA from 1 species
UAACUCCUACUACUUCCUCUUCUUGAGU